UACAGAGGGUGCGAGCGUUAAUCGGAAUUACUGGGCGUAAAGCGCGCGUAGGCGGCUUUGCAAGUCGGGUGUGAAAUCCCCAGGCUUAACCUUGGAACUGCAUUCGAGACUGCAUUGCUAGAGUAUGGGAGAGGGAAGUGGAAUUUCCGGUGUAGCGGUGAAAUGCGUAGAUAUCGUAAGGAAGACCAGUGGCGAAGGCGGGUCUCUGGACAGUUCCUGACGCUGAGGCACGAAGGCCAGGGGAGCAAACGGG
rnacentral:rRNA from 1 species